UUAGCAGUCUCUGUUCUAAAAUGUCUGGUGUAUCCGGCUUCAAUCGUACUUGUAAUUAACGUCGAUUUUUUGCCGCCUCAUUUGUAUUUCUUUCGGACGGAUCAGUAUAAAAUGUUGAAUGAACUAAAUUGGGGCUUGGCAAAGUGAUGCCGCAUGGGGGCAAUUGGCGUUACUAACUUUGUUUAUAGACUUGCUUCCCUUGAAAAUGUAGAUCUGCGUCCGUUGUUUUUUCAAA